rnacentral:rRNA from 1 species
UACGAAGGGGGCUAGCGUUGUUCGGAAUUACUGGGCGUAAAGCGCACGUAGGCGGUUCGUUAAGUCGGAUGUGAAAGCCCUCGGCUCAACUGAGGAAGUGCACCCGAAACUGGCGAGCUUGAGUACGAAAGAGGAUCGCGGAAUUCCCGGUGUAGAGGUGAAAUUCGUAGAUAUCGGGAGGAACACCGGUGGCGAAGGCGGGUCUCUGGGCCGAUACUGACGCUGAGGAGCGAAAGCGUGGGGAGCGAACAGG